GCCCCUGUGGCCUAAUGGUUAAGGCGUGAGACUUCUACUCUCACGGAGGGAUCAUCCCUCCACAAUAAAGAUCAUCUCAAGAUUGCGGGUUCGAAUCCCGCCAGGGGUU